GCUUGUCUCAAAGAUUAAGCCAUGCAUGUCUAAGUAUAAACUGCUUAUACUGUGAAACUGCGAAUGGCUCAUUAAAUCAGUUAUAGUUUAUUUGAUGGUACCUCUACUCGGAUAACCGUAGUAAUUCUAGAGCUAAUACGUGCGUAAAUCCCGACUUCUGGAAGGGACGUAUUUAUUAGAUAAAAGGCCAGCCGUCUCACGACGACCUGCGUUGACUCAUGAUAACUUCACGAAUCGCAUGGGCUUUGCCCGCGACAAACCAUUCAAGUUUCUGCCCCAUCAGCUUUCGAUGGUAGUGUAUUGGACUACCAUGGCUAUUACGGGUAACGGAGGAUUAGGGUUCGAUUCCGGAGAGGGAGCCUGAGAAACGGCUACCACAUCUAAGGAAGGCAGCAGG
rnacentral:rRNA from 1 species